UUGGGGACACACAUGGGCAAGGAGAGAAUCCUGAGGUGAGCGAGAGAACUAUAGCUAAGGAACUCUGCAAAAUGACCCCGUAACUUAGGGAGAAGGGGUGCUCCAGAAAUGGAGCCGCAGUAAAACGGCCCAAGCGACUGUUUACCAAAAACACAGCUCUCUGCGAAGGCGCAAGCCGAAGUAUAGGGGGUGACGCCUGCCCGGUGCUGGAAGGUCAAGGGGAGCUGUCAGCGCAAGCGAAGCAGCGAGCCGAAGCCCCAGUAAACGGCGGCCGUAACAAUAACGGUCCUAAGGUAGCGAAAUUCCUUGUCGGGCAAGUUCCGACCCGCACGAAAGGCGUAACGAUUUGGGCGCUGUCUCAGCUGUAGACUCGGUGAAGUCUUAGUACCUGUGAAGAUGCAGGUUGCCCGCGACUAGACGGAAAGACCCCAUGGAGCUUCACUGCAGGUUGACAUUGGGCUUGGAUGCAUGAUGUACAGGAUAGGUGGGAGGCUGUGAGCCGUGCGCGCCAGCGUACGGGGAGCCGCUGUUGGGAUACCACCCUUCAUGCAUCUAGGUCCUAACCGGAGGCAACGGGCCACGGGACAGUGUCAGUCGGGCAGUUUGACUGGGGCGGUCGCCUCCCAAAGAGUAACGGAGGCGCCCAAAGAUACCCUCAGCAUGGAUGGAAACCAUGCAUAGAGUGCAAAGGCAUAAGGGUGUCUGACUGCGAGACAUACAGGUCGAGCAGGGACGAAAGUCGGGCUUAGUGAUCCGGCGGAUCCGAAUGGAAGGGCCGUCGCUCAACGGAUAAAAGCUACCCUGGGGAUAACAGGCUGAUCUCCCCCAAGAGUUCACAUCGACGGGGAGGUUUGGCACCUCGAUGUCGGCUCAUCGCAUCCUGGAGCUGAAGUCGGUUCCAAGGGUUGGGCUGUUCGCCCAUUAAAGCGGUACGCGAGCUGGGUUCAGAACGUCGUGAGACAGUUCGGUCCCUAUCUGUCGUGGGCGCAGGAGGUUUGAGGAGAGCUGCCCCUAGUACGAGAGGACCGGGGUGGACGGACCGAUGGUGCACCAGUUGUCACGCCAGUGGCACAGCUGGGCAGCCAAGUCCGGACGGGAUAAGCGCUGAAGGCAUCUAAGCGUGAAGCCCCCUCCAAGAUGAGACCUCCCAUUGGCGACAAGUAAGGCCCCUCGAAGACGACGAGGUUGAUAGGCCGCGAGUGCAAGCGCAGCGAUGUGCUUAGCGGGGCGGUACUAAUAGGCCGAGGACUUGGCCG
rnacentral:rRNA from 1 species